UACGGAGGGUGCAAGCGUUAUCCGGAUUCACUGGGCGUAAAGGGUGCGUAGGUGGCUGGGAAAGUUUGAUGUGAAAGCUCAGGGCUUAACCCUGAAAUGGCAUUGAAUACUGCCUGGCUGGAGGUUUGGAGGGGGGACUGGAAUUCUUGGUGUAGCAGUGAAAUGCGUAGAUAUCAAGAGGAACACCAGUGGCGAAGGCGAGUCCCUGGACAACACCUGACACUGAGGCACGAAAGCCGGGGGAGCAAACAGG
rnacentral:rRNA from 1 species